AUCAUGGCUCAGAUUGAACGCUGGCGGAAUGCUUUACACAUGCAAGUCGAACGGCAGCACGGACUUCGGUCUGGUGGCGAGUGGCGAACGGGUGAGUAAUAUAUCGGAACGUGCCCAGUCGUGGGGGAUAACGUAGUGAAAAUUACGCUAAUACCACAUACGAUCUAAGGAUGAAAGCGGGGGAUCGCAAGACCUCGCGCGAUUGGAGCGGCCGAUAUCAGAUUAGGUAGUUGGUGAGGUAAAGGCUCACCAAGCCAACGAUCUGUAGCUGGUCUGAGAGGACGACCAGCCACACCGGGACUGAGACACGGCCCAGACUCCUACGGGAGGCAGCAGUGGGGAAUUUUGGACAAUGGGCGCAAGCCUGAUCCAGCAAUGCCGCGUGCAGGAAGAAGGCCUUCGGGUUGUAAACUGCUUUUGUACGGAACGAAACGGCUCUGGUUAAUACCUGGGGCUCAUGACGGUACCGUAAGAAUAAGCACCGGCUAACUACGUG
rnacentral:rRNA from 1 species